rnacentral:rRNA from 1 species
AUUUAAGUUGUUGCAGUUAAAAAGCUCGUAGUUGGAUUUCGGGUGUGAACGACCGGUCCGUCUUUGAUGCGUACUGGUUGGUUGCGCCUUAUUGUCGAGGACGUGGUUCUAGCUUUCAUUAGCCGGGACACGGAGUCGGCAGCGUUACUUUGAGAAAAUUAGAGUGUUCAAAGCAGGCUAUCGCUCUGAAUACUACAGCAUGGAAUAACACGAUAGGACUCCGAGCCUAUUCUGUUGGUCUUCGGGACCGGAGUAAUGAUUAAGAGGGACAGUUGGGGGCAUUCGUAUUCCGAUGUCAGAGGUGAAAUUCUUGGAUUAUCGGAAGACGAACAUCUGCGAAAGCAUUUGCCAAGGAUGUUUUCAUUAAUCAAGAACGAAAGUUGGGGGCUCGAAGAAGAUCAGAUACCUUCCUAGUCUCAACCAUAAACGAUGCCGACUAGGGAUUGGCGGAUGUUUUUUAUGACUCCGUCAGCACCUUACGAGAAAUCAAAGUCUUUGGGUUCCGGGGGGAGUAUGGUCGCAAGGCUGAAACUUAAAGGAAU